ACAAUAUGAAAUAAUCAAAACUUAAAUUACUUAACAGAAAAUAAGAAUAGUUUGAGGGCUCUUCGCAAUUGUCCCCAUAACUACUUAACAGAAAAUAAGAAAUAGUUUAAGGGCUCUUUGCAAUUGUCCCCAUUAAUCCUCAUUGAGUGUAAUCGGUAACCCAAAUAGAGGGUUUGCGUAAUCGGGUAGGGCGAACUUCUAUUUGGGGCGUGGGAUGGGUGAUUCCCAAUUCCUCACCGGAAUUCCCUGUUUCGGCCGUCGGCGACUCUGUCUCCUCGGCGAGUUCUCCAAUUCGGCUCAAGUCGUUGCCAAUCGAUUCUGCAACCGUCCUGUCUGUAACAUGGCCACCCCCCAAGGAUUCACCUUGUCCUCAAGGUGUAUAGAGGGAAAUGCUCUCUGCAAUUCCAAGUCGUCCUCCCAAGAAGAAUCUUCCAUUAGGGAAAUGCUCUCUGCAAGCACCAGAGACUGAGGUAUCUUCUUCCCAUUUCGAUCAAUGUUCCUGCAAUCAAUUAUAGAGAUAGGAUAUAGUAUUAGUUGAUUGUCCACCGAAAAUAGUGGUGAUGGAUCCACGGUUGUUGGAGCUGUUCCAAGGAAUUUUUUUAGCUUAGAUACAUGGAAGCUAUCAUGAAUUCUGCUUCCGGAUGGCAAUUCCAACUUAUAAGCUAUCAUGGACUGAUCUUCUCUUUAAUCUUGAAGGGUCCAAAAUAUUUUAAGCACAACUUGUUAUGAAAUCUGUAUGAUGUGGAUGAUUGUCUGUAAGGUUGCAACUUCACUAGUGCUAGAUCCCCCACCUCAAAUUCUAUCUCCCUUCUAUGUUUAUCAGCAUUUUUCUUCAUCCUGUUUUGUGCCCUGGAGAGAUUAAUUUUGAUGCUCUCCAAUGCCUCAUUUCUUUCUUGAAUAUUAACUAUCACAGCCUCAAUGGAAGAAUCCUCUGGAAUGAAUUGAGGAAAAAUUGGGGCAUCUUUGCCAAACAACACUCGGAAUGGCGUGCUUCCAAUGGAUUCAUUGAAAUUGGUAUUAAACCAUAAUUCUGCCCAAGGUAGAAGAAGUAGCCACUUUUUGGGUUUAUCAUGGGCAAGGGCUCUGAGAUACAUUUCAACUCCCCUAUUUACCACUUCAGUCUGCCCAUCACUUUGUGGAUGAUAAGCCGAGGUAAAAUUUAGCUUAGUUCCAUAUAAUUUGUUUAGCUCCUUCCAGAAACUUGAUGUAAAUACCUUGUCUCUGUCAGAGACUAUAGAAUUAGGAUAGCCAUGAAGUCUUAUGAUUUCCUUCACGAAAAAAUCAGCCACCAUCUGAGCAUUAUAGUUAGCAGGCAAAGCCCCCAAAUGACAACCCUUUGAUAGCGCCUGUCAACUACCACAAUAAUCACAGAUUUAUUUUGAACUUUAGGGAGAUGAGUAAUGAAAUCAACCGAUAAGUCAUGCCAGACUGAGGGUGGAAUGGGGAGAGGUAUAAGCAUCCCACCACUCUUGAGAUUAAUUGACUUUAUUUUAUGGCAGAUUAUACAUUUUUUAACAUAAUCUUUGAUGUCUUUCAUCAUACCCUUCCACCAAAAAUUAGUGGAAAUUCUGUUGAAAGUCCUAUCAAUACCUGAAUGAGCCCCAAUGUAACUGUCAUGGAACUCCUUCAAAAGCUUGAGUACAAAUUCAGAGUUGCUCAAGAUAUAAUAUUUGCCCUUAUAGAAAAUUAAUCCAUCUCUAAAUUCAUAUCCUUGUGAUUGCAAAUUUUCUUCUUUAAUUUUUUGCACUAGUGAUUGGAUCUCAAGGGAGGUCUUGUUGAAUUCUUUAAGCUCAGAAAUCAUAUAAUUGAGUGGUGCUGAGAGUGCCAGUAGAGUUCCCUCCCCUACCUCCAUUUUACUAGAGUAUAAUAUUUCUCCUCCCUCUUCUUCUUCAAAACAUCUUGAGAGAGCAUUAACAACUUGAUUAUACUUUCCAGGUUUAUAGAUAAUGGUGAAGUCAUACCCAAACAACUUGCAGAGGAACACCUGUUGCUCUGGGGUUUGGAUCACCUGAGUGAGUAGGUUUUGAGGCUUCUGUGGUCAGUUUUAAUGGUGAAGUGCCUACCCAACAAGUAAUGCCUCCACUUACCAACGGCUUGGAUGAUGGCAAAUAAUUCCUUCACAUAAACGGAUGCUGCAUCCAUUUUUCCACUAAUCUUGCUGCUAUAAAAGGCUAUGGGGUGGCUGUCCUGCAAUAAUAUAGCUCCUAUACCUGAGUUGCAAGCGUUAGUUUCUACUACAAAUUCCUUCUCAAAAUCAGAAAAUUGUAAAACUGGAACUUUAGUUAAAGCUUCUUUUAAUUUUUGGAGGCUUGCAGAAGCUUUUUCAGACCAUUGAAAUGAAUCUUUCUUGAGUAGAUUCGUCAAUGGGGUGGCAAUCUAAGCAUAUGAUCUGACAAAUCUCCUAUAAUACCCGCUCAACCCCAAAAAGCCUCUCAACUGUUUAAUUGUCUUGGGUAUAGGCCAGUCCAUAACUGCUUUGAUUUUGUUAGGGUCUGGAUUGACUCCUUCAUGAGAAAUAAUGUGCCCUAGGAACCUUAUUGAAGACUGCCUAAAUGAACAUUUAGAUCUCUUUGCCAAUAGUUGAUUUUUUUGGAGUAUUCCAAACACUAAUUUCAUAUGCUCCAGAUGGCUCUCCACUGUUGAAUUGUAGAUCAAUAUAUCAUCAAAGAAAAUUAGGACAAAUUUUCUUAAGAAAUCCUGGAAUACCUGAUUCAUUAUGGAUUGGAAGGUAGCCGAGGCAUUUGUAAGACCAAAUGACAUUACAAGAAAUUCAUAGUGAGCCUGAUGGGUUCUGAAUGCUGUUUUUUCAGCGUCAGGAGGGUUAAUUCUGAUUUGGUGGAAGCCUGACCUCAAAUCUAGUUUAGAAAAAAUUACAGAGCCUUUUAACUCACCCAACAGUUCAUCCAUAGUUGUAAUGGGAAACUUAUCCUUUAUAGUGAUAGCAUUCAAUGCCCUAUAAUCCACACACAACCUAUACCCCUCAUCCUUCUUCUUCACUAAUAAUACUGGAGACGAAUAAGGGCUAGUGCUAGGUUUAAUGGUGCCCUGGAGUAGUAGCUCUCUGACCACUUUCUCAAUCUCUUCUUUCUAAAAUAGAGGGUACCUGUAUGGUCUGACAUUAAUAGGAUCUGAAUUGGGCUGCAGAUGGAUAAAGUGAUCAUUUUCUCUCUGUGGGGGUAAUCCAUGGAGUUGGUUCUUCAAACACUCCCUGAAAUUCAUUCACCACCUCAAUAAUUUUUUUAUUUUCUUUUAUAGAAUUCUGGUUAUCAUGCUCUUCCUCCACCUUUUCAAAAUAACACAAAAAAGCCUCAGAAACUUCUCCCUUUAGAUUUUUCAGUUCACCAUUUGUUGGGGGGUUGCUAUUAAGCAUGAAAUCCCGUUCCAUUCUACCUGUUCACCUUUCCAACAAAAUUUCAUACUCAAGUCAUUAUAAUUGGAAACUACAUCUCCCAAUUCCUUGAGCCAUUGGGUGCCAAUAACUACAUUAGAGCUUGCCAUAGGAAGAAGAAAAAGAUCAAUUUCCACCAUAAUUCCCUGAAUUUUCAGAUUGACCCCCCUGCAGACUUUAUCACAUGUAAGCUUCUCUCCACUACCGGUGGACACUCGAAAAGGGUUAAUAUAGCAAAUUAUCAGCUGUAAAUGUGAUGCCACUUCUUCUUGGACGAAAUUAUGAGUAGAGCCCGGAUCAAUUAGAACACUGACAGACUGGCUCUUGAUAAAACCCUCAAGUCUUAUAGUUCUCACUCCUAUCCUUCCUUGUAAGGCUUGGAAGCUAAUUUCAGACUCCUCCUCACAUUCGAGGAAUUUAAUUUCAGAUUCCUCCUCAACAUCUUCCACUUCCCAUAGGGUGUUGUCCUCUGCACACAGUCUGAAAAAUCUGCCCUUGCACUUGUGACCUGGUGUGAAUUUAUCGUCACAAUUAAAACAUAGUCCCUUAGAGGUCCUUUCCUUUCUUUCAACAAGAGUGAACCUUUUAAAUGUAGGUGUUGUUGCUGAUUUGAUUUGUCCCCCAAUGCCACCAAUUCCUCUAGAAUUAUUUGUUGGUUGUGAAAGAUUUUCUCCUCUAGUUUUGGUGUAGAAGAAUCUGGAAAAGUUUGAUUUGAAUCCCCCAAUUCUCUGGCCUGUUGAGGAUGUUCCUUGGAGCUCUAGAUGGACAGCUAGCUCCAUGGCCUCUUGGAUGUCAUCUAGUUUGGCUCUUACCACCUCUUUCUGAGUGUCAUCUUUAAGUCCUGAUAAAAACAUUUUGAAGAGUAACCAAUCAGGAAUCCCUAUUACUUUGGCGGAGUAAUCUUCAAAUCUUGCUACAUAUUCCACCACUGUAGUAGUUUGCAUUAGUUUGCUCAGUCUUUCCCCCGGAAUAGUGUAGAUAGUAAGGUUGAAUUUUUUUAAGAGAGAUUUCACGAAUGCUGGCCAAGUAGUCAAGUAGUUGCUUGACUCCAUCCACAAGAACCAUUUAAGAGCUACACUUUGCAUAUUGAAGGAUGCAAUUAUCAGUUUCUGUUCUUCCGGGGUAUUGUGAAAAAUGAAGAACCUCCUUGCCAUGAAUACCCACAGUUCCGGAUUUGUGCUAUCAAAUCUAGGCAUGUCGAACUUGAUGUGCUUAGAUGGUAUGUAUUCUGGAUUAUCAUACAUACACGCUGCAUAUUUUGGCUUCUCUGGAUCUAUAUCCGGAUCAAUUAUUUUCUGAUCAUUAUACCCUGGACGCGUCAUUGCCACUAAACUGACCCCUGUACCAUCAGUGAUGGAGGCUGCCAGAUCUGUCAUCUGUUUACCCAGUUGCAUUGUGUUGUUGUGCACCAAUGUUCUCAGCUCUGUCAUCUCUCGCGUUUGAGAGAGCUGAAAAUCCUGCAUUCUUUUGAGAGUUGCUUCUACUGCUUCCAUUUUAUUUUUGGUUUCCUGAAAUAGGGAUCAAAAAAUUUUGAAAGCACCAGUUGAUACGGCUAGAACCGAACCAAGGACCAGAUUAAUUCCGAUUUGGAAAAGAGUGGACCUGACACCAGCGAGGUGUCUCAGAUCGGAGUGCGAUCUACAUGCAAGAGAUGAGGGCGGAUUGCAAAUUAGAUUUGCAGAGAACCGGCGAGAUAAACUAGGGAAGGAUCGGGCAGGAGAAACCAUGCGGAUGCGAUCGGCGGAGGCGGAACGGCAGGAACUCAGACGGUCGUCUAGAUGAAAGGGAUGAACGUCGGGAGGAGAGGAUUUGCGUGGAUUUAAUUUGGAAUAUUAUGAUAAUUGUCCAAAAUAGAAUUGUUCUCUUAUAUAGGGGGUUACAAUAUGAAAUAAUCAAAACUUAAACUACUUAGCAGAAAAUAAGAAUAGUUUGAGGGCUCUUCACAAUUGUCCCCACAACUACUUAACAGAGAAUAAGAAAUAGUUUGAGGGCUCUUCGCAAUUGUCCCCAUUAAUCCUCAUUGAGUGUAAUCGGUAACCCAAAUAGAGGGUUUGCGUAAUCGGGUAGGGCGAACUUCUAUUUGGGGCGUGGGAUGGGCGAUUCCCAAUUCCUCACCGGAAUUCCCUGUUUCGGCUGCCGGCGACUCUGUCUCCUCGGCGAGUUCUCCAAUUCGGCUUAAGUCGUUGCCAAUCGAUUCUGCAACCGUCCUGUCUGUAACACAUUGAUAUUUGAAUUAAUAUGGAUACAUGUACGAUCUUAAUUGGUCAUUUAAGUGGAACAUGUGUUAAUUAACGACAUUAGUCAUUAGUAAAUCUUGACAUGAGAGGGGGAAAUACCGACUGCAUCUUAUGUGGAAGACAAUGGGAAUCGCAAGACCAUGUGUUUUUCAGAUGCAAAUUUUCUAUGGAUUUAUAGUCUUAUAUACUAAAUUCAAAAUCAGGUUUGAUUAUAUGCGCAAGACUCUCUUUAGAUCAGGUAAUGGCAGAGGCUCACGCCAGAACGAAGAACACGCCAUGUUGGAGUCUAACAUGGGCAUACAUGACUGCAGUAGUCUGGGGGAUCUGGACCGAAAGAAACAAGAGAGUGCACAAAGACAGACGCACGUCGCCGCAAGAGAUAGGGAAACGGAUAAUACAGGAUAUACCAAACACCUUCAUGACGAACAGGUACAAGGUCAGAGAGACGACCCAAGAGCAACGAUUAGCGGAAAUAUGAGCUAGUCCAACUGGCUCCAAGUUGAUUUAAUUAUUAUUAUUACGAUUUACUUGUAAUUCAAAUUUAGUAGGAAAUUGUAUUAAAAAUAUGAAAUAUCUAGGCUAAUGGUGGGUUGGAAUUUAACAAAUAAAAUUCUGACUCAUCAAAAAACAUAAAAGGUAAAGUGUGUUAAUGGAAUGACUUAAAAAAAUUAUAUUCAUAAAGAUUUUUACCUUUUAAGAGACAGUCUUUCUUUUAUAGUAGAAACGACAUGAGUAAUCACUUACGAGUAAUGGAUCGAAAAAUGAUGAUAGAGUUUUCUCUUGGAAAAAGAAAAGAUGCCUGGAGCACACCAGAGUUUUUACACUUUCUAUUGUCUAAGACCUACUAUGUAAAAACGAUGAUGCAUAGAUCGUUUUAAGAAAUAUCGAAUCAGUCUUCAAAGAUUGUUGAAAGCUUAAACGAGGGAUCUAAUGUCGUGCAAGCAACUAAAUAAGUAGCUGUCCACUGACCAAUAAUUUGGACCAACAUGUAUGAAUCAAUCCGACCAUCCAAGUUGAAUAUUUAAUAAAUAAAUCAAUAAAUAAAUAAACAGGGUUAGUGAAACAUCCAUG
rnacentral:lncRNA from 1 species